GACGAACGCUGGCGGCGUGCCUAAUACAUGCAAGUCGAACGAACCGCGACUAAGUGCUUGCACUAAGUCAAGGUGAGUGGCGAACGGGUGAGUAACACGUGGGUAACCUACCUCAUAGUGGGGAUAACAGUCGGAAACGACUGCUAAUACCGCAUAGGACAUAGGAUCACAUGAUCCAGUGAGGAAAGGUGGCGCACGCUAUCGCUAAGAGAUGGACCUGCGGUGCAUUAGCUAGUUGGUAGGGUAAAGGCCUACCAAGGCGAUGAUGCAUAGCCGACCUGAGAGGGUGAUCGGCCACAUUGGGACUGAGACACGGCCCAAACUCCUACGGGAGGCAGCAGUAGGGAAACUUCCGCAAUGGACGCAAGUCUGACGGAGCAACGCCGCGUGAGUGAAGAAGGUCUUCGGAUCGUAAAGCUCUGUUGUUAGAGAAGAACAGCGCAUAGAGUAACUGCUAUGCGUGUGACGGUAUCUAACCAGAAAGCCACGGCUAACUACGUG
rnacentral:rRNA from 1 species